GUCACCUGGAAAUCUUGUUAAAUUGAAGAUUCUGAUUCAGUAAGUCUGCAGUGGGGCCGCGAGUCUGCAGUUGUAACAAGUUCCCAGGUGAUGCUAC
rnacentral:pre_miRNA from 1 species